UGCAGUAAGCUUCACAAAAACUUCAACCAGAGGGUGAUAAUCAUGCAUCAAGCUUCGCAAAAAAGAAAAAUUCAAAUCAGAACUCAAGCGUGUUACCAACAGAUUAAAAGCAAAACACCCAUCUGUACACGAAGAAUUAUAUCUGAAAAAUAAGAGGAAUUGGAAGAACAAGUCUAUUAAGAAUGAAAUCGAUAAUAAUAUUAAUUAAAUCAUUACAAUAAAAC
rnacentral:lncRNA from 1 species